CCUUUGGAGAGUUAUAUCAAACUGAAGUAGCGUUUAGCAAAACAGGACUCGAUGAACAAGGAA
rnacentral:ncRNA from 1 species